rnacentral:tRNA from 1 species
GCCUGGGUGGCUCAGUCGGUUGGGCAUCUGACUGUGGCUCAGGUCAUGAUCUCACAGUUUGUGGGUUCGAGCCCUGCUAUGGGCU